UUAAUAAUUAACUUUAUAAUAAAUAAAUAAAAACAUUAAUUAAACCUAAUACCUACAACUUAAUAACAUUUUAAAACAUAACUUCUUUUAAAGUACAUUCGCACUCAAAAUACUGAAACGUAAUCUGUAGUCAUAAACAGUUUAUGGUAGAAAUUUAGUUUCAUAAACCUGCCCACAUUUUAAUAUUGGUAGAAAUUUAUUGUUCAUAACCUGGUAUUAUUUUUAACAUUCCGUGACAUCGUGACACUUUCAACGGCUGUCGCCGCUCGCUAGUCAUUCAUUAGCUUUGCCAUCACUGGACUCGAACGUACGCUUGCGCAUCUAAAUAAUAAUUGCUUUCGCACAAUCAUUGCGACUUAAAAGUAAAUUUUUAAAUAGAUAGUGCACCUUAAGUGUCCUAACCGUUCCGGGUCCGCUAUACAAGGCGCUGCUGGCUCUGUGUACCUGUGUUUUACAUAAAUCCUCAAACCCCCAUAUUGGGGUUUCAGUACGGGAUUUAAGAAGAUUUCAGUACGGGAUUUAAGAAGAUUUCAGUACGGGAUUUAAGAAGAUUUCAGUACGGGAUUUAGAAGACCUAGGCUUCGCUUCGCUACCUACUGCUGCAUCACCCUCUGCUUCGCUUCCGCUUCGGACCUACAGCUGAGCACGGCGACCUACAACCCUGCCCGUGGCUGACGACCUGUUCCACCGGCAUCUGACCAUCCAGGGGAGUGCUUGAACUACGCAGUGAAAUCAGAUACUAGGCCGACACACCACGACCCGUUCUACCGACUUAGGUGGCCUGCGGCCAUCAAUAAACUAUUUUCGUUGGACCUA